AUAUGCCUAGGUGGGAUUAGCUAGUUGGUGAGGUAAGGGCUCACCAAGGCGACGAUCCCUAGCUGGUCUGAGAGGAUGAUCAGCCACACUGGAACUGAGACACGGUCCAGACUCCUACGGGAGGCAGCAGUGGGGAAUAUUGCACAAUGGGCGCAAGCCUGAUGCAGCCAUGCCGCGUGUGUGAAGAAGGCCUUCGGGUUGUAAAGCACUUUCAGUCGUGAGGAAGGUAGUGUAGUUAAUAGCUGCAUUAUUUGACGUUAGCGACAGAAGAAGCACCGGCUAACUCCGUGCCAGCAGCCGCGGUAAUACGGAGGGUGCGAGCGUUAAUCGGAAUUACUGGGCGUAAAGCGCAUGCAGGUGGUUUGUUAAGUCAGAUGUGAAAGCCCGGGGCUCAACCUCGGAAUAGCAUUUGAAACUGGCAGACUAGAGUACUGUAGAGGGGGGUAGAAUUUCAGGUGUAGCGGUGAAAUGCGUAGAGAUCUGAAGGAAUACCGGUGGCGAAGGCGGCCCCCUGGACAGAUACUGACACUCAGAUGCGAAAGCGUGGGGAGCAAACAGGAUUAGAUACCCUGGUAGUCCACGCCGUAAACGAUGUCUACUUGGAGGUUGUGGCCUUGAGCCGUGGCUUUCGGAGCUAACGCGUUAAGUAGACCGCCUGGGGAGUACGGUCGCAAGAUUAAAACUCAAAUGAAUUGACGGGGGCCCGCACAAGCGGUGGAGCAUGUGGUUUAAUUCGAUGCAACGCGAAGAACCUUACCUACUCUUGACAUCCAGAGAACUUUCCAGAGAUGGAUUGGUGCCUUCGGGAACUCUGAGACAGGUGCU
rnacentral:rRNA from 1 species